CGGGGAUGAUGUGUCUGUCUCCGAUGGCUGCUGUGACUGGGGGACUAUGAGAUUAAAGGGGACCAUUACAUUACAGCAACGGCAUACUCAGUUGUCUUGAAACAGCACUGAAACUGCGAAGUGUGUUUUUGGUCCAACGUAAUAACACCAAAAUGGAUGAGAAGCAGGGACCAACUUCUGAUGAUGUCCCAACUGGGGAGGUAACGUCAACCACAGUUACAGAGGGUGAUGUUGUCAAGAUGCCAACAGAUGUGGCCAUCACUAUGGAUGCUAUUCCCAAUGAAGAUGAGGAGGACAAAUCCAAAGGUCUUGACCCACAAGAUAACCAUUCCACCAGCACCUCUGACGUACCGGUGACUGGCGCUGCC
rnacentral:lncRNA from 1 species